UACGUAGGUCCCGAGCGUUGUCCGGAUUUAUUGGGCGUAAAGCGAGCGCAGGUGGUUUAUUAAGUCUGGUGUAAAAGGCUGUGGCUCAACCAUUGUAUGCAUUGGAAACUGGUAGACUUGAGUGCAGGAGAGGAGAGUGGAAUUCCAUGUGUAGCGGUGAAAUGCGUAGAUAUAUGGAGGAGCACCGGUGGCGAAAGCGGCUCUCUGGCCUGUAACUGACACUGAGGCUCGAAAGCGUGGGGAGCAAACAGG
rnacentral:rRNA from 1 species